rnacentral:rRNA from 1 species
AUUGAACGCUGGCGGCAGGCUUAACACAUGCAAGUCGAGCGGAGAUGAGGUGCUUGCACCUUAUCUUAGCGGCGGACGGGUGAGUAAUGCUUAGGAAUCUGCCAUUUAGUGGGGGACAACAUUCCGAAAGGAAUGCUAAUACCGCAUACGCCCUACGGGGGAAAGCAGGGGAUCUUCGGACCUUGCGCUAAUAGAUGAGCCUAAGUCGGAUUAGCUAGUUGGUGGGGUAAAGGCCUACCAAGGCGACGAUCUGUAGCGGGUCUGAGAGGAUGAUCCGCCACACUGGGACUGAGACACGGCCCAGACUCCUACGGGAGGCAGCAGUGGGGAAUAUUGGACAAUGGGCGGAAGCCUGAUCCAGCCAUGCCGCGUGUGUGAAGAAGGCCUUUUGGUUGUAAAGCACUUUAAGCGAGGAGGAGGCUACCUGGAUUAAUACUCUAGGAUAGUGGACGUUACUCGCAGAAUAAGCACCGGCUAACUCUGUGCCAGCCGCCGCCGUAAAAC